UACGAAGGGGGCUAGCGUUGUUCGGAAUUACUGGGCGUAAAGCGCGCGCAGGCGGCUAUCCAAGUCAGUGGUGAAAGCCCGGAGCUCAACUCCGGAACUGCCAUUGAAACUGUUUAGCUUGAGGAUGAGAGAGGUGAGUGGAAUUCCCAGUGUAGAGGUGAAAUUCGUAGAUAUUGGGAAGAACACCGGCGGCGAAGGCGGCCCUCUGGAUCGUUGCUGACGCUGAGACGGCGAAAGCGUGGGGAGCAAACAGG
rnacentral:rRNA from 1 species